AGGCCUCAGCUGGAGUACUGUGUCCAAUUUUGGUUACCAGUAUAUAGAAGGGAUGUAGAGAAACUGGAAAGGAUCCAGAGGUGAGAAACAAAGAUGAUCGAAGGGAUGGAAUGCAGCCAUAUGAGCGAAGGCUGAAGGAACUAGGAAUGACGAGGGAACAAAGGACUAGUCCUGGCAGAGAAACUUCAUGCCAAAAAGGGAGCAGCAAACCUUCACAGUUCAGCGUCUGUGCAGUUCCACUAAUGUCAUGAAGAGACAAAAUGAGCAGACUUGCCAGAAGCUGGGCAGCAAAGCCUGCAAACCUUGCCUGCCUUGUAUCAACAGAGAACAAACAAUGGGCUAGGAAGUGAAGCAGACUGGCUGGUGCUAGGGACUGGCACCCAUGGCAAGCACACCCAGCUCUAUCCAGCACCCAUUCCCUAUGUCUAUCCCCUUCCUUAGCUCCUUAACAAGCUGACCCCACAGCGCCAAAUGUCACCCAAGGCUAACCUGUGCAGCAACAAGUCCACUGCUGCACACCCCAUCCCCCUCCACGUCCUUCCCGACCCCGCUUCCCAUUUCCACCCUGUGCCAGUGCCAGAGCCGGGGAUGCCAUUGAAUGAAAUAAUCCCCACACAGACCACCGGGACAAUCCAUAGGCCAAGUCUGGAAGGCAUUUUGGGAUGCAGCUGGAGGACAGGGGCUGUCUACACCAUCAUUAGCUCCCCCUUCUGUCAUGUGUAACAUUAUUAUUUGCAGUUAGAGCCCCAACCUGAGACCGGGACUCCAUUCUGUUAGGCCCGGUACAAAUACAUGGGGAGGGACAGGCCUGGCCCUCAAGAGCUUAAUCUAAAUGGUGAAGCCACAAAAGGACUUAGGCGCUCAACUACCACUUUCGAUCUUCAACCCUCCUGCUCAGCUGCUGUCCAACCCUGCAGGCUCCUCAAGUCACUUGGUGCCUAAAUUUUCACCAUGAUGGUUUGGCAGCUGGGCCCCGACCCUGCUGUCCCAGACCCUGCCCGGAAGCUCAGCACCUAUCUCACACGUCCCAUCGGAUCCUCAAACGAGGCCUUGGCCUGCUGAUCUUGGCUGCUGGACCCAGUCCAGGAGUUGUGCCUAACUCCCACAAAAACGUGUGCAGGGGUGGAAGAAGAGGAGGAGGAGGAGGUGGACAACUCUCUUAUCGCUAUUAGCCCAGCAGUCAGGGCUCUCUCCUGAGAGGUCAGGGAUACUGGCGUGCGUGCAAUACUGGUCUAAGGAUAACCUUGAAAUCACCCCAGGUGUGGACCCUAUUGUUUUUUUCAUUAUUGGCACUGUAAGGAUGCUCCACUUACUCCAGUUAACUUUGAAUAUCAUUCCUGAGUCCUGUAAGUGCUGAAGUUUGCUGCAUUGCAAGAGGUGAUGGACAAAUUUUUGACAAUUUAGGAAUUGGUUCUUUUCAAGCAUAGAUUUUGCUUUCCAAUAUUUUAAGGUUCUGAUACCAUCCUGGAAGACAUCAGCCACCUUAUUAAAAAGUUCAGCUCCUUUUUGUUUUAUGCUGGAGUUCAUGAAACCUGCAGGCAUUUUAUGAUUUGUCAGUGCAGAGACACGUCAAAGAGGAGAUUGCUCACUCAGAGAAAUUAAAACUGACUGUCAAAGCGGGAACCGUGUUCCAAAUCAUCUACCACCUUCCUGCCAGGAAAAAACAAACCAGCGCUCCGUGUCCAUCACUCUCCUGUACUCCCAACAUUUGAAAAAUAAAGAAAGAUCAUUAAUUAUUGGUUAGAAAAUAAAAUGC